rnacentral:rRNA from 1 species
AGCGAACGCUGGCGGCAGGCCUAACACAUGCAAGUCGAACGAUCCUUCGGGAUAGUGGCGGACGGGUGAGUAACACGUGGGAACGUGCCCUUUGGUUCGGAACAACUCAGGGAAACUUGAGCUAAUACCGAAUGUGCCCUUCGGGGGAAAGAUUUAUCGCCAUUGGAGCGGCCCGCGUCCGAUUAGCUAGUUGGUGAGGUAAUGGCUCACCAAGGCGACGAUCAGUAGCUGGUCUGAGAGGAUGAUCAGCCACACUGGGACUGAGACACGGCCCAGACUCCUACGGGAGGCAGCAGUGGGGAAUCUUGCGCAAUGGGCGAAAGCCUGACGCAGCCAUGCCGCGUGAAUGAUGAAGGUCUUAGGAUUGUAAAAUUCUUUCACCGGGGACGAUAAUGACGGUACCCGGAGAAGAAGCCCCGGCUAACUUCGUGCCAGCCGCCGCGGUAAGAC